UCCUGACAACACAGAACAUGCUAGAGGCCA
rnacentral:piRNA from 1 species